UGGCCAAACACGUGUUUCACUGGGACAAUCGUGAGUGGUGCACACUUCCUUCGCCCGGCCACAGAAUAAAUAUAAAUAAAAGUCCCAUUUAAGAGUUGCUGGUGUAACAAUAGGAAGAAUAUAUUCCACUCCUCUCUUCUACACGUGGCUUAUGAGACGUCCAACAGGUGAACGCUCGUCAAGAAGAACGUCCUCUUCAGCAGCAGGAGGAUCCACAGCCCCCCCACAUUAAAGAGGAAGAGGAGGAAGUGUGGAUCACUCAGGAGGAAGAGUGUCUUCUAGGACAGGAGGAGGCUGAUCUCAGCAAGUAUCCACUGACUGUUGUCUCUGUGAAGACUGAAGAGCAUGAAGACAAACCACCUGAGUCCUCACAGCUUCAUCACAGUCCAAACGUCUGUGAAAAAUAUCAUCCACCUGAGCAGCAGGAGAGGCCCACCAGUAUGGAGCAAAAGAGGUCACAGCACUUCCAUGUGAAAGAAAAGGAGCCACAGCCCCCCCACUUUAAAAAUGAAGAAAAACAGCGGCUGUCCCCCCACUUCAUAGAGGAAGACAAGAGACACCUCAUCAGUGUGAAGAGUGAAGAUGAUGAGGUCAAAGGUGAAAGUGAGGAGAGGGGAGGGGCGGAGCCUCCAAGCAGCAGCUCAACACAACAGACAUGACAUAACAACAGAAGCUGAUGGAGACCACUGUGGAGGAUCACAAGCAGACAAGCUCUUAGCUCCACUAUCAGAUAGUGAGGACACAACGUCACACUCUCCUGACACCGAUGAUGAAGAUUCUAAAGAUGAUAAGACAUGUCACACUGACAACACUCACUUCACAUGUUCUUACUGCGACAAAACUUUUAAAGACCGUAGUAAUCUGAAAAGGCACAUGAGUACGCACACCGGAGAAAAACCUUUUUCCUGCUCAGAAUGUGGUAGAGAUUUUAGACUAAAGCACAUGCUGAAAUUACACGUGAGAACACACACUGGAGAAAAACCUUUUUUAUGUUCAAUCUGCGGUAAAGAUUUUACUCAAAAGCACCAUUUGAAAACACACUUGAGAAUACACACAGGAAAAAAACCUUUUGCGUGUUCAAACUGCAGUAAAGAUUUUACUCACAGGCACGAUUUGAAAAUACACAUGAGAAUACACACUGGAGAAAAAACAUUUUCCUGCUCAGAAUGUGAUAAAAGUUUUGCAAUAAAUCAAAGUUUAAAAGUACACAUGAGAACACAUUGGAGAAAAACCUUUUUUAUGUUCAAUCUGCGGUAAAGAUUUUACUCAAAAGCACAGUUUCAAAGCACAUAUGAGAACACACAUUGGAGAAAAAACUUUUAUUCGUUCAGUAUGUGGUAAAAGUUAUAUAGAAAAACAGCAAUUAAAAUCACACAUGAGAAAGCACUCUGGUGAAAAACCAUACUCUUGUUCGAGCUGCAACAAAAGCUUUCGUCACCGACAAUCUAUUAAAGUACACAUGAGAAGACACACAGGGGAAAAAGUGUUGAUUUGCAGUGUGUGUGGUGAAAGAUUAUCUUCUAAGUAUCAGUGUAAGAAACACAAGUGUUCUGGUGAGAACAGCAGCAGCAAAUGAAACUGCAGGAUUCUAAAUAAACUGUCAAGACUUUAAUUUUGACUUUCUAACAACAUCAGCACAUAUAACAUGUGUGACAUCAUUGUUGUUUAACACAAUCUUGUUAUAAUGAUUCUAACAUUUAUAGAUUAGACACUUCAGAUUAGUGCUUUUAUUUCAGUCAAGUACAUGAGUUAAUAUACACAUUUGUGUUCUUUAAAAUGAACAGAACAAUUUGACUGAAAGGGUGAAAAUAAACUUUACAUACAAUAUGUUACACACAAUUAAUAUUGUAUGUGUAGAUAUUCAUAAUUCCCUCUUACACUUAUUCAGAAUAGUGUUUUAUAUAUGUUUUUGAAAAAAUGAAGUGUUACAUAUUUAUUUUCUAAUUGUAGAUAAUUCCAUUUAAGAACUCCUUUACAUGAUGUACAUAUUUGUUUUACAUGAGUUCAUACCUUUGCUUUUGAGUACACAUAAAUGCCUCUUAGUUCAUAUUUACUGGUUCACAUCUGAAACAUCUUCUGGACCACUUCUGGAAGCAUAUUAAUAUUUACUUUAUACAUCAUUUGAGCAGUUGCAUUUAUACAAAAACAUUUACUUUAAAAAUUUGUGACUUUAUGAAUAAUUUGUUGCUUGUCAAUAAUCCAUUCUAUUAAUCACCUUUAUUACUUUCCUGUGUCAUAUGAAUAUUGUUGUGUGAUUGUUUUAUAUGUAUGUCCCCAGACCUUUAUGCAAUAAACAAUGUAGGCUUCAACUGAA